rnacentral:lncRNA from 1 species
CGAGAAACAAUACGUGAAUGAAAGAAUAUUUGUGAGUGAAAAAUUAAAUACAUAGCUGCAUUGGUGAGCUAUAUAUAAUUAAAAAGUAAACAUUUACAAAAAGAAUGUGUAAGCCUAUAUAGAUGAAUUAGUAAGGUUGGUAAGUUGGUAGGUGUUAUGAACAACUUAUUUAGUUAUUUAUCAUACAUAUACUUAGGGAAUAAUUGGAUCGGGUUUUGAUGGCCUUGGUGGGCCACGUGGAAGUAACUGUAACAAAAGCCCAUCAAAUUCCCUCGACAUUAAUCGAUCAUCUUGCAAAGGCCUACAGGCAGCUCCAAGUUGAGAAGAAACGACGAGAAUGAAGAAAAUGAUCACUAGAACUAUAAAAAGGUUCCUCAUGUUAUAAGAGAAAGCCAUGUCUAUUAAUUAUCUCUUUUCUUGAUAAGCUUUAAUUGGGAAAAUUGAGUUUGUGUUGCUAAGGCG